rnacentral:rRNA from 1 species
CAGCCGCCACGGUAAUACGAAGGGGGCUAGCGUUGUUCGGAAUUACUGGGCGUAAAGCGCACGUAGGCGGAUCGAUCAGUCAGGGGUGAAAUCCCAGGGCUCAACCCUGGAACUGCCUUUGAUACUGUCGAUCUGGAGUAUGGAAGAGGUGAGUGGAAUUCCGAGUGUAGAGGUGAAAUUCGUAGAUAUUCGGAGGAACACCAGUGGCGAAGGCGGCUCACUGGUCCAUUACUGACGCUGAGGUGCGAAAGCGUGGGGAGCAAACAGGAUUAGAUACCCGCGUAGUCCCUGUCUCUUAUAC